rnacentral:lncRNA from 1 species
AUCCGCUUAAACUCACAAUCUCUGGGAAUGAGACCUAAGAAUCAGUACUUGUAGAAAGCUCCAGGGCCGGUUCCGGGCCGGUUCCGUGGCCGGUUCCGUGGCCGAGUGGUUAAGUUCCCGUGCUCUGCUGCGGCGGCCCAGGGUUCAGAUCCUGGGCGCGGACACGGCACCGCUCAUCAGGCUACGUUGAGGCCGGGUCCCACAUCCCACAACUAGAAGGACCUGCAACUAAGAUAUACAACUGUGGAAACUGAGGCCAAGAACAUUACAUAGGCAGUUCCUGGCCUUAAGUUGGAAUAAGGAAACCUGCAUUGGCUCAACCAAUUUUUGCUAUGAGAUUUAAAACAUUUCCCCUGGGAAAAGAAGUCUAAAUUUCUCCUCUUUGAAAAGGAGUGACUCAAAUGGCAGACAUUCUUUAUUAAUCUGAAUAUCCCAAGGGGAGGUUAUCACUGUCGUGCUGCCCUAGUGCCACCUACACCUGGUGUGCAGGUAUGAAAGUAUCAUUUAGAAUAUGGAAAAAUCUCAGACUAGUGAUGUGACCGGCGUUUCCUUUCAACAUUUUCUUCUGCGCUUCUGGUUCACCCCCUCACCCAGCUUUUCCUCUUAUACAUCCUCUUCAUUGUUAGCAAAAGAACGGAGACACAAGUCCUGGAUGUGGAGCAGCCAUCUUUUGACCAUAAGGUAGAAGACCACACAAGUCCUGAUGACUUCUUUGAGCAACUACACUUCU